rnacentral:rRNA from 1 species
GACGAACGCUGGCGGCGUGCCUAACACAUGCAAGUCGAGCGAAUGAAGUUCUUUCGGGAGUGGAUUUAGCGGCGGACGGGUGAGUAACACGUGGGCAGCCUGCCUCAUAGAGGGGAAUAGCCUUCCGAAAGGGAGAUUAAUACCGCAUAAGAUUGUAGUACCGCAUGAUACAGCAAUUAAAGGAGCAAUCCGCUAUGAGAUGGGCCCGCGGCGCAUUAGCUAGUUGGUGAGGUAACGGCUCACCAAGGCGACGAUGCGUAGCCGACCUGAGAGGGUGAUCGGCCACAUUGGGACUGAGACACGGCCCAGACUCCUACGGGAGGCAGCAGUGGGGAAUAUUGCACAAUGGGGGAAACCCUGAUGCAGCAACGCCGCGUGAGUGAUGACGGCCUUCGGGUUGUAAAGCUCUGUCUUCAGGGACGAUAAUGACGGUACCUGAGGAGGAAGCCACGGCUAACUACGUGCCAGCAGCCGCCGCUG